CCCACAGAUGAUGAAUGCUUAUGAAAUCAUGCAUGAAAUCGUGUCAUGAAAUUGUAAAAUUGCUGGAGUGAGAAUACCUGAAAAAAGAAAUAAUAUAUGUCCAAGGCCUUAUACAUUUAAUCAAAACGCAGACCUGUCUCACUUGUAAGAAGAAAAAGUCGGAGGAUUUUAUUUUGUUGCUGUUUUUGCUAUUUGUAAAUUUCACUUCAAUUACUGGACCAUUAUGUGAGAAAUCAAAACCUUAACAUACUUAUUUUUCUUCCAACCUGAAUCUCGAAGAAAUACUCAUAUAUAAUUACAAUCACUAAAUAUCAACGAUACUUUGAUAAAUAAAAAAAAUAUCACAUAUUUUCUAAUAUAAAAUUUAAAAAAUAAAACAUGGAAACGAUUAGAAAUUACUUCAAAAAGAAACCAAAAGAUCCAAAUGGUAUUGACGGCAAAUAUACCAUUCCUGAAGAGCUUAGGAGACAAUUUUCAGACUAUAACACAGAUUCUACGGAAACGCAUCGUGUACGAACAAUUUCAAUUUCUAGGUCCGGUAGAUUCAAACCAAAACGAGAUCGCGGUGCCAUUUCACAGAGACCGGAUAUAUUCCAACAGCCAACCAGCGAAAAGAAAGAGGAAGUGGCAUCCAGAGAAGAAAGGAAACAUGAUAGCCCUCGAACAACUCGGUCAUCGAAUAAUAACUACCGGUAACAAACUAUCGCUAAAAUAAGCUGGUUAUCCGUUUAAGCUAUAACUUUCUGGACUCGAGAAGCCAUGUAAUACGGCGUUUACAAAUUCGCGCCGUAUUGCAAAAAAAAAUGUAUAUCUAACAGAGAAAAAAAAUUGAAAAUGAAAAAUAAAGAGUUACAUCCAAGAAUACAUCGUAUAUGGACAAAUGUAUAUACAUUUGUGAGCACAGCGAUUAUCACUAAAUUCUUUGAAGACGCUUUUAUAACAAAUUGUUCUUGGAUGUGCGGGAGGGAUAAGAAAAAAGUACCAGACAUAAACUGGAAUAGAUUCAAAACGUUCAGUCGGUCACACUCUUCCUCUACAUAUUCGUCGGCUUUGCACCAAUGUAAAAAAAAAAAAGUCGAAGUGUUUUAAAAUUUAGUAUUGUUUUAAUUCAACAGCAUUUUAGUAAAUGACAUUGUUAAAAUAAGAUUUAAACAUGUAAUUAUAAAUAUGCAUGAUUCAUGCAUAUAAUGUAUGUAUAACUUGUGUGCGGAUAUAUAUGUGUGUGUGUGUGUGUGUGUGUUUGUGUGUGUGCGUGUGUACGAUAGCCCUUCCAAGACACGUCAUGUUUGUUUCUCUUUAGAGUUGGUACGGACCACACGAAUUCGUUCUCGCACGAAUUCUGAAGAGCAAGAGACACGACUGGUCUUACAAAAGACAUCAUCAUUAUAAAUAUCCUUACUUUAUGUCUUGAAUACUUUGCCUCAAAUUGCGGUUUCUUCAUUGUUUUAAACGUAAUUAUGCAACUAUGUGUAUGUGCAUGAGUAUAUGUGUGUGUACGUGCGUGCGUGCGUGCGUGCGUGUGUGCGUGUGAGAGAGAAAGUAGGGAGCGCAGUUUGAUUGUUUUAGGAGAUUGUUUUACAGCCAAAAGAUUCUGGUAUCGAUUCCACUGUGUGCCAUCUUGGGUAAAUGUCAUUUUCUGUAGCCAUUGUAAAUGGAACUGGACAGCAUGAAAACUACAUAAAAGCUCGUGACAGAUCGUACCUAUAGGACAAAAUGCAUGACCUUACUGCACAUCGUGUCCCGCUGAUUCUAGCUACGUUAAGGGUAUAGGUGCAGGCAAUUCACUUGAUCGAACUGAGUCCUCAUCGGCGAACUAAGACCACUGAUGCGGU